ensembl:lincRNA
CAGGGGUGCGUGUGGGCGUGGCUAGGCUAUGGGCACAGCCCCUCCUGACCCAAGACUCCCCCUCUUCAGGGUCACAUGCUGAAUAUUCACCUGACCCCUUUUCUCCUCCUUGGACGAGGACUCCAGAGGCUUCGUGCCUGGGAGCCAGCCGCAUGUUCACAAACCAUUUUGAAGCAAAACCCUAAGGACCACCGGUUCUUAUUCAUCAUCAUGAAAAGAAAAAAAAGAAAUAAAAAUGAAAAGAAAACAAAAUGCCUAAAGAUUAUGAAACUAUUGUUUUAGAAUGUGGCUGUUUACUGUGGUUAUUUUAAAGUUUGUGUUUGUUCUCUGGAAUGUAGAUUCAAGUUUGCAAUUAGGAAGAUAACUUUAAGAAAAACUCUUGUUUUUAUUUUAUUUUAUUGAGAUUUGUAUUUGAGCUCAUCCCAUAACCAGUGCUCAACUGGAAGUGAAACCAUGGAAUUAAAUGGAAUUCUACUCUGUGGCUACUUACCAAAUUCUAAAUCUUUACACUUGGGAAAUAAGGCAACUUAAAUCACAAAAACUGUGUAAAUGAGGCAGUCUUAGAUGAGUUCUGUUGCUGGAAAAACUGGUGGUUGACUUAAUUAUGCCAUUUAUGAAUGAAGUACAGUUUCAUCACUUAACAAAUUGAUUAUUAUUUCAGUAACUUAUUUAAAAUGAUAGGGCUAAGGAAAAAAAUACCUUGGGAGUAUAGAUUCCAAAAAAAAUUAUUUAAAAAACCUGAACAUAACUUAAAAUGGCUUACUACGUAAGGGGCAAAACUAUAGAUUAAAUAUUUUUUAUUUGUAAAUGUAAUUAAUCCCACUUAAUAAAACAGUGCACAUUUAAAUUGUUUAUGUUUGUGCAAGAGUUUUUGUGAAAUGCUAUUUAUAAAAACAGAAAAUAUUUUACUAUUUCCAAAGAGCAAUAUAAUAUUUUUUGAUGGCCAGGCGGUGUCGGCACACACCUUUAAUCCCAACACUUGGAGUCAGAGGCAGGUGGAUCUCUGUGAGUUCGAGACCAGCCUAGUCUACAAGAGCUAGUUCCAGGAUAUGUCCAAAGCUACACAGAGAAUCCCUGUCUCAAAACAUACAUACACACACACACACACACACACACACACACUUACUUGAUGGCUUGUGAUACAGAUCAAUGGUAGAAUGUUUUCCUGGCAUGUGAGAGACCCUGUGUUCCAUUUCUAGUACAACAAAAAAGAAAGGAAGGAAGGAAGGAAGAAUGAAAGAAAGGGAAAAAACCCAGGUAUUUUGAGAGCAUAAUAAUGAAAAAAAUUUCUAUAGGUCUUUAGACAACUGUUAAGGGUUGAAUUAUGCUACCCUACAGAAAGACUGAAUUCUUAAUCCCUACUAUUUUAGAAUGUGACCUUAUUUGGUAAUACUGUCUCUAUAGGUAUAAUGAAUAAAAAACAAGGCUAUGCUUUAAUAGGGUGGGUCCCUAAUCUGAUAAAAUUGAUGUCCUCAUAAAAGGGAUUGUUUUGUGAACAGAGACACAGGGGGAAUGCCUUGUAACAAAGGAAGAUUGAAGUGGUGCACCUGCCAGCCAAGGAAUGUCAAAGGUGGUUAACAAAGCACCAGAAGCUACAGAAGCUAAGGGGGCAGCGGCUAAGAAUGGUUACCUACAGGUUUCAGAGGGAGUUAGGUUCUUUGGGCUACCCUAAUCUCACAGCUCUAAUCUCUACAACUGUAAAAUGAUCCCUCCUUCCCUCCCUCCCUCC